UUUAGUUCCACCUGUGGUUAAUUUGCUACUUUUCAGAUGCUGUCUCAGGGCUAGAAGUCAUAGUUUGAAGAGUGUUUGGUCUUCAUGGAAGUGAAUAAGUAUUUAUCUGGGUUGAAGAACUUUAGGCAGCAGGGUUUUUUGCAAUCUGUGGUAGUGAUGACCACACUCAAACACCCAAGAGCCCCAUCGGCCCCCAAGAGGAGGGGGCGGGGAACACCACAAGACCAGCAGGACUUACCUGCAAAGGAGAGUGAGCCCAGACAGACCCAGGGGCUUUCAGAAGAGGAAAGUAUCACUCUGUAGUUCUGGAUUCAGAUAGCAGUCUUCUUCAGCUGGUUUUGACUCUGCUCUUGGAUUUCACCCUGUGGACUGCCCCUCAGAUUGGUAUUCAGCAUCUGAUUCCUGGAUCCUGACCCUGGACUGUGUUGUGGACUCUGCCCCUAGACUUCCCUCUGGAUUUGGCUUGGAGCUCUGGCUAGAGAGGCACUAGGCAGUGCUGGACACUGGGCCAGGGACCUACAGCCAGAGCUGGCAUCCUUUCCACUGUCCCCUGUUUAGCCCAAGAAACAAGAGCCCAGGAGCAGCUAUAGAUGACACUCAAGCUUGGGAGCAAGGAGUAAGCAUGAAGGGCGGAAGAAGCUAGAUCCCAAGCCAACACCAGGGGCAAGAAACCAAACCUCAACCCUCUACCAGAAGAGCCAGAGACUCUAGACCAGCGGUUCCCAAACUCAAAUGGAAAACCAGGAUCCCUGUUUAUUGCAACCCCAUCUGCUGAUGUUGUGAUCCCAUUUGCGACUGUGACACAGUUUGGGAGCUGCUGCUGUAAGGCCUUGAGUUGUGAUCUCCCAGAAAGGCAUUGUGUUUUCUUUUGGGGUUGUGGGAAGUCUUGAAUGGCUUGUAACUUCAUAGCUGUCUUCUGUGUUGUAGGUAACAUUUGGUAUAAAACUGUCUUUAAAAAAAAGAGAGAGAGAGAGAGAUGCCAUCUGGCUCAGUAAUCAAUGACCCACAACAGAUGACAAAUACUGCCCUAGGGCCAGUGGUUCUCACUGGGGUGCCGCAAGAGCCUUCCAGGGUGUUAUGGUGCAGGCAUUGCCCCCCCCCCAGUAGAAACCACCCUAUGUGCCCCAUGCAAAGCCAGAUCAGGAAGCAGGUACAGCAGGAGCAGGCACUCUCCUCAACAUUAGAUUUAUCUGAUAAACCAGUAAGAAAAUCAUAUGGCUUCACACAAAGCAUGCAGUGAAGAACCACAUGGCCAUGGAGAUGGUGGCAUGAUUCUGGUUGAGAAUCGUUGAGGUAAGUGGAGGCAGCACAACAAUGGUUCUUAACUGGGGAGAUGCUAUGUUCAGAAAAACGUUACAUAGCCGGGUACUGCUACAUUCAGUUAUGGAGAGCUGCCUUGAAUCUAAAAAUGUUGCGAACCACUGCCCUAGGCCAACUGCACAGCACUGUAGCAUGGAGAAAGACAGGCUGCUCCCUGAUCUUCAUGUAAAUGUCUGAUCUCCACUAUCCCAGAAGCCCUGCAGCCAUGGAUGGAUCUAGGAUUUUGAAAGUGGGGGGUGUUGAUGGUGUGGUGCAUUAUCAUCAAGUAUAACAAAACACACAAUUUUUCUCUGUUAGAAAGUAGAAACUUCACAAAUAAGUUAGGGGCUUAGAGCUAUAUUAUGACAUUUAAAAUUGAAGCAAAAAAACAACUGUUGGAAUGUGCAUUCAUUUCUUGUAUAAAAAUGCAAAAAUAAUCAAAAUAUAUUGUGUCAUUAGUUCUGUAGUAAUUAUAGUUAAAUGUAUGUCUCUUUUAGAAUCAUAAAACAAAAUCUAGUCUCUUGAGUAUCUUGACAGUGCAUCCAAUGCUUCAUGGAAAGUUUUUUUCCACUCCUGGGCUAUUGUUUACCUGAGUUAACAUUUCCACAUCUGAGUUAAUGUUCCUAACUAGAAUUUAAAAAGUGUGCAGGGCUUUGAAAUGGGAGUUACUUUACUAGGAGCAGCUAGCAGACAGCAGCAUUGCAAAAGAAAGGAUAGCUUGAGUAGUGGAACCAUUAAAGAUUAUAAAAAAGGGAAAGAUGGUCAUUAAUGCCUCUGUAGUGAAGAGUUUAAAAGGAAUCAGGUAGACUACAAUGAGCCACGAAGUCAACUGACUCCCUCACUGUUGCCUGAACAGAAGUACAGCUGCCUCCAUCAGGCAGUUGACUUUAAACUUUGGAUGGAUCAGGAAUCAAAUGCACUGCAUGCCCCCUGCCCCCACCAUUGGAUCUGCCCCUGCCUGCAGCAGGAGGUGUUUCAGGCCUUGUAACUGUGUUCUGUCAAGCAUUCUACAUGACGCUUAUUCAGCUGUACAGUCAGUGUCCAAUCAUGGGACUGAAUUUUACUAUGAGAAACCCUAAGACAUUUUGAUGCAUGCUUGCUUGUUACUUAUUUAUUUCUAGUAUAACUUGACAAAGCACAGGGACAGCUUGUUUUCAUUUGACUCUCAGUGAGUCACUGGGCAGCGUGAACAUAAAGCAGCUGAAAUAGGAUGCAUCAGCAAAGUACCAUCCCUCCAAAAGGAGACGGGCAUUAGCAUGAAUUCAGUUACUCCUACCAUCUUCCUUGUGCAUCCUUACUAGACUUAGACUUCCUUCCAGAAUACCUGUAAACGCCCAUCACGUUCCUCCCUCUUCCCCUCUGCUUUAGUUUUAACGUCUCCCCUGAGGCACUCGUGCAGAAAACACUAACAUUGCAAGUGUUUGGAGAGAGUGAAAGGGCAGCCUUCCAGCUCAGAAAUUAUCCUCAAGUACCCAAAGUCUCAAAUGACCUUUAAAAACCAACAAAGAUCUACCUCCUUUGCAUAUGCUAUGGGAAUGGGCUUUAUGAGCCAGCAGUUCUGAGCUAUUUAAAGUACCCCUUCUAAUAAUUGUUCAUAUGCUACUGUAUACUUACACCAUGCUAGCUUCAGGCACUACUAAGGGAGAACUGGACCUUUUUUGCUCAGCCUAGCAGCCUGAAAGGUCAUGGACAAGCUGGGGGGAGGACAUGAAUAAGCUGUGAAAUAUUAGGGCAUUUUUAAUUACACUUAGGCUUUUCUAAGCCUCCUGCCAGUGUCAGUUUGCUCCAGUGUUUGCAGGCAGUACCACUGCCAGUUGCAUGGGAAUCUAACAGCAGGGGCUGUCCACCAGCUAAAAUGUGUUGGAUUCUAAAAUGAUUAUCAAGAAUGUCAUCAUCAAAUUAAUUAUCAGAGGCCAGAUAAUUAGCUGGUAUAAACUGCCAGUGCUCCACUGAUACAAGAUGGGGAUCUUCAUAUCCUAUGGGGCUUUCAUUUGUUUUUUUUGCAAAGUAUUACAGCAAGGCACAGAUUCAGUUGAAUGAUCUCUGGCUCCUGAUGAGCAUCACUGAUGAUGUCCCUUACUAGCAGGC